rnacentral:rRNA from 1 species
CAAGCGGUGGAUGAUGUGGUUUAAUUCGAUGCAACGCGAAAAACCUUACCCACCUUUGACAUGUACGGAAUCCUUUAGAGAUAGAGGGGUGCUCGAAAGAGAGCCGUAACACAGGUGCUGCAUGGCUGUCGUCAGCUCGUGUCGUGAGAUGUGGGUUAAGUCCCGCAACGAGCGCAACCCUUGUCAUUAGUUGCUACAUUUGGUUGGGCACUCUAAUGAGACUGCCGGUGACAAGCCGGAGGAAGGUGGGGAUGACGUCAAGUCCUCAUGGCCCUUAUAGGUGGGGCUACACACGUCAUACAAUGGCUGGUACAAAGGGUUGCCAACCCGCGAGGGGGAGCUAAUCCCACAAAGCCAGUCGUAGUCCGGAUCGUAGUCUGCAACUCGACUACGUGAAGUCGGAAUCGCUAGUAAUCGUGGAUCAGAAUGUCACGGUGAAUACGUUCCCGGGUCUU